rnacentral:rRNA from 1 species
GGACGAACGCCUGGCGGCGUGCCUAACACAUGCAAGUCGAGCGGGACAUGCGACGGAGUCGAAGUUUCGGAUGGAGACAAAGAUGUAUUGUUCUAGCGGCGGACGGGUGAGUAACGCGUGAGCAACCUGUCCCUUACAGGGGAUAACACAGCGAAAGUUGUACUAAUACCGCAUAAGACCACAGAGUGACAUCGCUCAGGGGUCAAAGGAGCAAUCCGGUAAGGGGUGGGCUCGCGUCCGAUUAGAUAGUUGGUGAGGUAACGGCCCACCAAGUCGACGAUCGGUGGCCGACCUGAGAGGGUGAUCGGCCACAUUGGGACUGAGACACGGCCCAAACUCCUACGGGAGGCAGCAGUGGGGAAUAUUGGGCAAUGGGGGGAAACCCUGACCCAGCAACGCCGCGUGAGGGAAGAAGGUUUUCGGAUCGUAAACCUCUGUCCUUGGUGAAGAGGAAGAGACGGUAGCCAAGGAGGAAGCCCCGGCUAACUACGUGCCAGCCGCGGC